rnacentral:rRNA from 1 species
GAUGAACGCUGGCGGCGUGCUCAACACAUGCAAGUCGAACGGAAAGGCCCAAGCUUGCUUGGGUGCUCGAGUGGCGAACGGGUGAGUAACACGUGGGUGAUCUGCCCUGCACUUUGGGAUAAGCCUGGGAAACUGGGUCUAAUACCGGAUAGGACCAUCGUUUAGUGUCGGUGGUGGAAGGUUUUUCGGUGUGGGAUGAGCUCGCGGCCUAUCAGCUUGUUGGUGGGGUAAUGGUCUACCAAGGCGUCGACGGGUAGCCGGCCUGGGAGGGUGUACGGCCACAUUGGGACUGAGAUAGGGCCCAGACGCAUACGGGAGGCAGCAGUGGGGAAUAUUGCACAAUGGGCGCAAGCCUGAUGCAGCGACGCCGCGGGGGGGAUGACGGCCUUCGGGUUGUAAACUCCUUUCGCCAAGGACGAAGCGUUUUGUGACGGUACUUGGAGAAGAAGCACCGGCUAACUACGUG